UUGUGCGAAGAGGAGGGCUCUACUAGACUCAACUCCCAACUCAACUUUGCCUCCUUCUUUUGCUCCACUUUGGUCACAGCCUUUCCACUUCGACCACCACUACAACACCGUCGAUCAAGGCCAGCCACAGUGACCGACGGGGGAACCUGUCAACACGGCACAAAACCACUGCGGGCUCGUGUUGUGUGUUUUUUCACUAACAUGGCGGGUGGAGACUGUCGAGAGUGACCUAUUUUUUUUACACGCCGGAUAGACGAGCGUUUACUCGCGCGCGAGGAGAAAAGGUCGCUUCGGAAGACGAACUUUAGGUGAAGUUUACGUGGCAAGCGGCACACAAAUGUUGGCUACUUCUGGGACCUACGCCAAUAAGAAGAGGAAGAAACCAGUCCUCAAACAAAAAAAGGUAAAGGACGGGAAUGAAGUCAUCAAAUCCAACCCUUCCAAGCGCCACCGGGACCGGCUGAACGGGGAGCUGGACCGUCUGACGGACCUGCUCCCCUUUUCCGAGGAUGUUCGUUCCUGUCUGGACAAACUGUCUGUCCUUCGCCUUAGCGUCGGAUACCUGCGCGUCAAGAGUUAUUUCAAAGCCACGAUAAAGAACAACACAAGCAGUGGAUUUCCUGGAGCCAACAACGCGUCCAAUGGGAACAACUUGGUGACCCAAGGCUUCUCUGAGGGAGACCUCCUACUCCAGGCGCUGAAUGGCUUUGUGCUGGUCGUCACAUCUGAGGGGUACGUGUUCUAUACCUCGCCCACCAUCAAAGAGUACCUAGGCUUCCAGCAGUCGGACGUGGUCCACCAGAGCGUGUUUGAGCUCAUCCACACAGAUGACCGUGCCACGUUCAGGCAAAACCUCCACUUUGCGCUAAACCCACCUGACACAGGUGGACAAGGCUUGGAGGAGUGCAGGAACACAGAGUUCUACAGUCCUGAUCAACUUCCUCCGGAAAACUCAUCCUUCCUGGAGAGAGGUUUUGUGUGUCGCUUCCGUUGCCUCCUGGACAACUCGUCUGGCUUUUUAGCUCUCAAGUUCCAGGGACGACUCAAGUACCUGCAUGGCCAAAACAUCUUCAGGGACAAUGGGUCACACAUGAAACCGCAGCUCGCGCUCUUUGCCAUCGCCACGCCCGUUCAGUCUCCAUCCAUUGUAGAGAUACGCUCCAAAAUGUUGCUCUUUCAGACCAAGCACAAGCUGGAUUUCACACCGAUGGGCGUUGACAACAGGGGGAAGAUUAUUUUGGGCUAUUCAGAGACAGAGCUGUGCAUGAAAGGUUCCGGCUACCAGUUUAUCCACGCCGCUGACAUGAUGUACUGUGCCGACAACCACAUGCGCAUGAUUAAAACUGGAGAAAGCGGCCUGACGACUUUCCGUCUCUUGAGUAAGUCAGGAAGCUGGGUUUGGGUCAAAGCCAACGCCAAGCUGAUCUACAAAGGAGGAAGACCCGACUUCAUCAUCGCCUACCAGCGAGCUAUAGUCAAUGCUGAGGGCGAGGACUACCUCCGCCAGAGGAGGUUACAGCUGCCCUUCAGCCUCACCACGGGCGAGGCUGUGCUUUACAACACCGGCCCAACCAUGGACCUCACGCAGACGCAGUUCAACAAAAAGUUUAACAACAAUGAUGACAUGGAUGUCAGCAAGGAGACGCAUUUCCCCCGCUCACUCCUGGAUUGCUUCCUUCGGCAGGAUGAGUCCGCCUACAGGCACACGCCAGAGGUGCACUUUCCUGUGGAUCAGGUCUUCAUGGACAGUCGAGCGCUGGUGAGCGUGCCCAGUAAUGCUUGGAAGGACACAGGCGUGGGGGCCACUUCUAGCGCCCCCAUUGUGGUAAAGGAGGAGGCUAAGCGGUCUGUGAUGGCUAUGAUCGACAACCUGCAAGAGAUGGCGCAGAAGGGUGACUUCUGCAGCGCCCUGGAGAAUCUGGAGGUGGAUGACUCAGAGCUGAUGCAGUGGGAGGAGUCUCUCAAGCGCUUGGGUCAGGAGGGCGACCAGCAGGACAGCGUGCAGUCUGAGUUGGAUAACGUCCUCAUCAACGAGAUAUUCGACCAUAUUGAUUCUGUUUUGUUCAAGGAAAAUGGUGACGAGUGCCCUGCCGCUUGCCUGAAGCAGGACGCGUUCACGCAACCACAGCAGCAGUUCCCGACAUUAUCCCAGGAUGGGAAUUUCCCUCAAACCAAUGGCUUCUACACGGCUCAAACCUUGGUGGGAUCUGCUCCGGCUUUCAGCAGUGGCCAGAAACUUUCCCACUGUGGACCUCUGCCGGGUGCCACAAAUGAGCACCAGGUUUCUUUCCAGCAGCUGCAACUUCAGGACAUUUUCAGCCCAGAAAUAGAACUCCCAGAACUUAUUGUGCCUGACUCUUCUGCUCGUGGUGCUCCGGUCCACUUUCCAAGCUUUGAACAGCAGCAGCAGCCGAUUCUACAUCAACAGAAUAAUAUAUACUCAGUUGAGCCACACAUGAUUCCUUGCCAUGACUUGAACAAUCACAAUGCCGCCAUCCCUGACCCUAUAACUUGUCCUCCUACGUGGUCGCAGGGCCAUUACAAGAUGCCCCAUUCAUCCGUUACACUCAAUGAUCCAGUUUUGGAAAGCCAAACAUUCCCAUGUAACGGCCCCUGGCCAAGAGCAGUCAACGGUCUGGACCAACCUCAGCAGGGCAUGCUGGUGUGCGACCGGGUGGCCAAUCAAAGCAGCUGCAUGUACGUGCAACCCCCGACGCUUGCACAGUCCUCGUGCCACAGGGGAACGUGCCUGAAUCAAAGUCCCCUGCAGACCUGCUGCUCCAUCCAGUGGGGUAACAGUCAGCCUGUGGUGGACACAUCAGCCACCACCCAGGAGAACGCCAACAUCAGUUCCAUGACAGUGCCAUCCAACGUCAACGUCGGCAUGAGUCUUUAACCAUCUUUGCUUCCAGGAAUGAUACGUGCAGACACAUAUAUCAUCACCAACAAGUGUCCAAAAAAUGGAGCACUCUUCACUUUGUCAUCGUCAUGUGGCUGCCAGUGAUGUUGGCAACGGUCGGCAGCCACCCUCCCAUGCAGUAUCAGCGCUUAAUCGCUGACUCUCGCACUUACUUUCACAUAUAUCCUCUCUUGUGUGUGUCUCAUAUUUACUCACAUGAAACGUCUGUAUCAGAGGAAUGAAGAAUGAGGACGUGAAUGGAAACAACCAAAGAUUUUGAUUUUUACAAGGGAAACCAAUAUUUGUUGACAUAUAUUGACAUUUUGUGUU